rnacentral:tRNA from 1 species
GGUGGCUCAGUGGCAGAGUACUUGUCUUGCAUGCAUGAGGCCCUGGGUUCAAUUCCUCAGCACCA